GGUGGCUUUCUAAAGACUGCUGUCCACAGUGUAAUGGGAUCCAGCUGCUGCCGAAGACAGUUACCUGAAGGAGGCCCCACAGUCUCCUUAGGCCUUGGGCCUCCAGAUCCCAUGGCUUCUCCCUGCGGGUCCAUAUCUUCCACAGAUUCAGGGAACCCCCAGACAGAGCGAUAGAGUGAAACUCGUGGUUGAAGGACUUUGGAGUGAAAGAUAUGUGGGUUAUAAGCCCAAUUCACAGCUUUGCUAGCUGUGUGACUUUGGGAAAGUUAGUUAACCUCUCCGUAGAGAGCCUCAGUUUUCUCAUCUGUAAAAUGGUGACAGAAAGUACCUACCUUGUCAUGAAGAUUAAAUAAAACCAUGUAAAUGGGAGAUUUGGCACAGUACCUGGCACACCACAAGCUUUUGGUAAACAGGAACUGAUGAUUUUGUGACCACUGAGUGACAGCAGAUAUUGGAGAACCUCCAGGUCUCACAUACUCAAAAAGUGGAAAGGGAGGUGGAGGCUCCAACUUCUGCACCUCGGCCAGAAGAACAAGGACGCUGACCCAUUCCCACCGAGGUGGCACCUGUUGAUAACUGCUCCCACGUGGUCAGAAGGCGGAGUGUCCUGUGCCAACCAGAGCACCACACAGGCCACGUGCAUCUUCUGGGGGCUGACUCCAAGGAUGGCUGAGGAUGGCUGACGGUUUGCUGCAGCUUCUGGGUCCUGACGGUUUGCUUGCGGUCAGAGUCUGGGUCCCUUUUCCUUCCCCAGGAUCCACACUGGGGUAGGGGCUCCUUCUUUACAGACCCCAAAACACAAAUGGUCUCCUUACUCCUGUGUCUGAAAGUCCCCAGAAAGCUGCUCCCCUCUGCCACCCCCAGACCCACCCUCCACAGUAAACCCCAGUGCUGAGGCACCUAACUGAGGACUACCAAGGUAACUUCUGCACAGAACAGAGGAAAAAAAUGGUCUAUAUGGGAUGUCCUGCCGUAUUUUUUUCUUCUCAGUAACUAGGCAGCGAGGAGAAGUCAAAGUGAAGCCAGCAUCCAGCGGUGGAGUCUUUGCCUUUUCUCUUUAUGCUCCAGGUGCACUAGAGGACGGAUGCGGCUUUGCUGACAGAGAGUCUGCGGCCUGGACAUGCCAGCGGUGCAGGUCUGAGGUUUGAGCUCCGCUAGAUCCCUGCAGGAUAAUCAGUGCUUACACCCAUUUGACAGGCCCAGCUCUGUCCAUCCAGCUGUCUGUACAGCCUUCCUCAGAACGUCCACCACAGGAAGCAAACUCUAACCCACCCACUCCCACUUGGAAGCUGUGGACACAUCCC